UACGUAGGGUGCGAGCGUUAAUCGGAAUUACUGGGCGUAAAGCGUGCGCAAGCGGUCUGUUAAGACCGAUGUGAAAUCCCCGGGCUUAACCUGGAACUGCAUUGGUGACUGGCAGGCUUGAGUGUGGCAGAGGGAGGUAGAAUUCCACGUGUAGCAGUGAAAUGCGUAGAGAUGUGGAGGAAUACCGAUGGCGAAGCAGCCUCCUGGCCACACUGACGCUCAUGCACGAAGCGUGGGAGC
rnacentral:rRNA from 1 species